GGUGUUAUAGCCAAGUGGUUACGGCGACAGAUUAGAAUUUUCUGCUUACGUAAGCACUUUAAAAAGAAUUCAUCUGUUGGGGUUCCCCCGCGUAGGUUCGAAUCCUGCUAACAUCG
rnacentral:tRNA from 1 species